AUAAUGACGGGACCUGCGGAGGAAGCCACGGGUAACUACGUGCCAGCAGCCGCGGUAAUACGUAGGUGGCAAGCGUUGUCCGGAUUUACUGGGCGUAAAGGGAGCGUAGGUGGAUAUUUAAGUGGGAUGUGAAAUACUCGGGCUUAACCUGGGUGCUGCAUUCCAAACUGGAUAUCUAGAGGCAGGAAAGGAAAUAGAAUUCCUAGUGUAGCGGUGAAAUGCGUAGAGUUAGGAAGAAUACCAGUGGCGAAGGCGAUUUUGGCUGUACUGACCUGAGGCUCAAAGCGUGGGGAGAAAAGGAUUA
rnacentral:rRNA from 1 species